GCUCAGAAGCGGGCUGCACAGUAUACUUUUUUAAUAAGAUUUAGAGUAGAUCAACAAGAGGAGGUAAGGAGUUGACAGGAGAGGAAGACUGGGCAUAAUUGAGAUAGCAUUAGAGCAGAUCAAGACCAAGAUUAUAGUUCUAGAGGCUAUGUAUCAAAGAUGAAAGGAUUAGCACUUGUCACGUGUACCUGAAAGUGCCCAGACUCCAGUCUACUCAACGGUGAGAACUGAGGAUAUCAGUUAUGGGGAGAUCAACAUCAGAACCAAGAAAAAUAAACCAACAACCAAAGGGAGUGAUCCAUGUGCUGUGUACUCAGCUGUAAGGACAAAUGAUGUUAAUUAUGGAGAGAUAAUCAUCAGAGAGAAGAGAAACAGAGAUAUCUUACCAGAACCAGAUGUUGUCUAUUCUUCACUCAAGUAGUCCAGAUGACAUCCAACAGCCACCUCUCACCUCAUUCCCCCAUAAACAAACAUCAGUUUUUAUCUAAAGAUUUUAAUUCUGUACAUGUUUUUGUAAGUCAAACAUUUUCUUUAAAUAUGUUCUUCUUGUUAUUGAAGCUAGGGUAAAAAAACAAUGUUACAUGGCUGUAUUUUCAUGGUACAAAGACUUUCCUAACUGUUGUCAGUGAAUAGUUUUCAUUUUUAAAUACGAACUUCAUGUCUCACACUAAAGCACAUUAGUUCCUUAUUGAGUUUCUCUUUUUUAAAAAUGUGGCUAUAAAGGUUUGAAUGAAAAAAGACAGGAAGUAUGACUUCUGCUUUCAACUGAAAUAAAACCAUUCAGACAAGAUU